UAAGUAUUCUUGUAGAACCUCGGCUGC
rnacentral:piRNA from 1 species